AUGGAGCUGACACGCUGGGUAGAUGAGAUAAGUCCCAUCAACUGUGUCACUGCCUCACCUCAUGGCCUUCCCAUGGAGCCCCAGUCUUGCCCGGGAAGAGGCUGGACACUGGAAUCAAACUGUGGAACGGGGGUGUGCCAGUGGCCAGAGCUGGGGGAGCUGCUUAAAAACAUCUUCUUUGGGGCGCCUGGGUGGCGCAGUCGGUUCAGCGUCCGACUUCAGCCAGGUCAUGAUCUCACGGUCCGUGAGUUCAAGCCCCGCGUCAGGCUCUGGGCUGACGGCUCAGAGCCUGGAGCCUGUUUCCGAUUCUGUGUCUCGCUCUCUCUCUGCCCCUCCCCCGUUCAUGCUCUGUCUCUCUCUGUCCCCAAAAUAAAUAAAAACGUUGAAAA
rnacentral:lncRNA from 1 species